rnacentral:rRNA from 1 species
CAGCAGCCACGGUAAUACGUAGGUGGCAAGCGUUGUCCGGAAUUAUUGGGCGUAAAGGGUGCGUAGGCGGUUUCGCAAGUCUUGUGUGAAAUCUAUGGGCUCAACCCAUAGUCUGCACAGGAAACUGCGAGGCUUGAGGAUGGGAGAGGUGAGUGGAAUUUCCGGUGUAGCGGUGAAAUGCGUAGAUAUCGGAAGGAACACCUGUGGCGAAAGCGGCUCACUGGACCAUUUCUGACGCUGAUGCACGAAAGCUAGGGGAGCAAACAGGAUUAGAUACCCCCGUAGUCCCUGUCUCUUAUAC